UUCCAUUCUUAAAUCUGCCAGUGUCCCAAGGUGGCUGCUGUACUCCAUCCAGCCAAGGUAGCUGCUGGCUCUCCAUCCAGUCAAGGUGGCUGUGGACUCUCCAUCUAUUCAAGGUGGCUGUGGAUUCUCCAUCUAUUCAAGGUGGCUGUGGCAUUCCAUCCAACCAUUUAACAUAUCUUUCAGACAGCAAGAAAUGGAAAGGAAAACUGUUGCAUCUCUGUUGAGAAGAAUUUCCAGAAAUACCACUCCUGCAUUCAUGGAUUUCAUUGGCCAGAAAUCAGUCAUGUGGCCAACUCUAGCUUGUAAGAAGGUGUCUUUUGUUUCUUCACAAUGUUUUAUGGAUGUUUAAGUGGAUCACUGUUUCCUAAACAGACAAGCUUUGAGAAUCCUGAAAACUAAAAUUCCUGACAACAGGACCAAAGAGGGAGAUACAUGAGAUCAGAGCUGGACAGUGAAAUGCCAGUUCUUCCUCUGAGGGCCUGAACUUCUAACAAGCUGAGGAAUCACGGACAUCUCUGCCUCAGCAGACCCCUCAGAUAAAGGCUCCUUGUAAUUGGCGGAUAUCAUUUUUUGUGAAGCUCAGAAGCAUGUCUCUUACUUCUCAUCCCAGAGUUCCUUGGUGAUUUAUCACCAAGUUAUGGGUCCCAUGGGAAGAUGCCAUCUGGAUCAAGAGAUUCUUCUAAACUCAGCACCAGACAGUCUCCACCAGGGCUGGCAGCUUGAACUUGCCCUUGGCACUUCACUUCCGAUUCUAGGAGAGCAGCAGCGCCCCCUGCGGGCGUCCUUCUAAGCCCCAGGUUGGUUUCCUGAAUCUGGGUCUGAGCAAGGAGGACUGGAGCAGCUUCGGGAGCCGGGAGGCAAGGCCCCGCGGCCAGCUAGGAGAUGCUGCUUCCCAUCAGACCUACUACCCGACAAUCCUUCGACGGUCUGCGGCGCACUGCAUCAACCCACAGAGAAAACCCUCUGCUGGGGGAUCAAGGCUAGGAGGCGAGGGAAGGACAAGGAAGCAAAUGGCUCAGUCGGUACCCGGAA